rnacentral:rRNA from 1 species
UACAGAGGUCUCAAGCGUUGUUCGGAUUCAUUGGGCGUAAAGCGCGCGCAGGCGGUCUUCCAAGUCAGUGGUGAAAGCCCGGAGCUCAACUCCGGAACUGCCAUUGAAACUGUAAGACUUGAGGACGAGAGAGGUGAGUGGAAUUCCCAGUGUAGAGGUGAAAUUCGUAGAUAUUGGGAAGAACACCGGUGGCGAAGGCGGCUCACUGGCUCGUAUCUGACGCUCAGGCGCGACAGCGUGGGGAUCAAACAGG